rnacentral:rRNA from 1 species
UACAGAGGUUGCAAGCGUUAAUCGGAAUUACUGGGCGUAAAGCGCACGUAGGCGGCAUCGUAAGUGUCCGGUGAAAAUCCCACGGCUCACCCGUCGGAACGUAGCCUCGGCGAGACUGCGAUGCUCGAGUAUGGUAGGGGAGAGCGGAACUCCUGGUGGAGCGGUGAAAUGCGUAGAUAUCAGGAGGAACACCGGUGGCGAAGGCGGCUCUCUGGUCCAUGUCUGACGCUGAGGUGCGAAAGCUAGGGGAGCAAACGGGAUUAGAUACCCCGGUAGU